rnacentral:rRNA from 1 species
AUGGUCGCAAGACUGACCCAGCCAUGCCGCGUGCAGGAAGACGGCCCUCUGGGUUGUAAACUGCUUUUAUCUGGGAAGAAAAAGUCCAUGCGUGGAAAAUUGCCGGUACCAGAUGAAUAAGCACCGGCUAACUCCGUGCCAGCAGCCGCGGUAAUACGGAGGGUGCAAGCGUUGUCCGGAUUUAUUGGGUUUAAAGGGUGCGUAGGCGGCUGAAUAAGUCAGCGGUGAAAGACUUCGGCUUAACCGGAGCAGUGCCGUUGAUACUGUUUAGCUUGAGUGUUGGAGGGGUACAUGGAAUUGAUGGUGUAGCGGUGAAAUGCAUAGAUACCAUCAGGAACACCGAUAGCGAAGGCAUUGUACUGGCCAACAACUGACGCUGAGGCACGAAAGUGUGGGGAUCGAACAGGAUUAGAU